AGGAUUUUUCUGAAUAUAAAUACAAUUAAUUUUGGGACGAGGUCUAGUUAACAGUACGUACAAAGACAAAAAGAAAAUAUAAAGCUAAAGAAAUUGAUGGGCUCAAAUCAAAUCCUCAUUCCAAGGUGAUUUGUAGCUUUACCUAAUUGUUUUAUUUUGUUUGUUUGUACGUGUUAACAUGCAUACGUGCGAGAUUUUCCUCGCACGAAUAUAUAAUACUUUACAGCUACGUAUAUUUACCUUUACGUAAUUAUGAUAAAAGAUAUAUUUCUUAUGUAAACCAAUGGACGAACUUCAUUUAAAACAAAGCAUAUGAUUAGCGUGCAUGAGCGCAUAGCCAAAGGCAACAAAAUGUUUUAUAAAGAUUAAUCAUAAUAAUAUGGUUUUACUACGUUAUAUUAGAUUUAUUUUUGACAAAGAACGUUUUAGUAGAUUUACCAUUGUAGAAUAACAAAACUUAAAAAUGACUUUAUAAGUUCAGUUAUAUAAUUGUUAUUUCGGUCCUCAAGUUUUUAAUAAAAAAAUGAAAGUGAAGUUUUCUCCUGUAAGAAACAACGAUAGAAGAGGCCGGAACGUUAGAAGCCGGUAUGUGUCCGACUUUGAAAUGAAUGGUGCGGAUUAUGCACCUCAACCAAACGACGCAAAAAAGGAGAGGUUGGGCUAGCAAACAUCUUGGAAACCAUAGUGGACACACUAAGACUCAAAGAAGAAGUGUGAGGGCUCUUCUUGAAACCGGUUUCGAAGAAGGAUGCUCCAGACUAUUUUGAUAUAGUGAAACGCCCGAUGGAUCUGUCGACAAUCAGGGAUAAGGUACGGAAGAUAGAGUACAGAAACCACGAGCAGUUUAGACACGAUGUGUGGCAGAUCCAGCUCAAUGCUCAUCUUUAUAACAACAAUGGGCGUAACCCAGGGAUACCGCCUUUGGCAGAUCAGUUGCUGGAGAUUUGUGAUUGCUUGUUAGAAGAUUAUGGAGAUCAGUUAGCAGAAGCAGAGAAAGGUAUUGAUAGAUAGAUCCCAAACUGACUGAGAGAGUGUGUUUUAAGAUAGUCAUUCCUCUUUUAAUCAAGAAAAAAGAACUGGGAUUCUAGCUUUAGCUAAUGAUUUGUAUGAAGAAAAAAAAAGAAACAUUGUCAUGUGCUGUGUGUGUGUUCUUUUUUCUUUUUUCUAUUGUUGUUUGUAAAAUUUUGAGGUUUUCACUAAAGUGAUGAUUGUGGUGUGGGUAUUAAAUAGGACUUUGAAAGAUGAUGUGUUAAUGUUGUGUAUAAAACUUUGUUUUCAUUGAGAAUGGGCCUUUUGUUAAUUA